AAGACAUCCCUUUGCUCUUCCUGCGUCUUCCACCAUGAUUGUGAGGCCUCCCCAGCCAUGAGGAACUGCCAUCAGCAGAUUGAAGCUGCACACAUCACUGGGAUGCUGCUGCCGGAGGAUUCGGUCUAAUCCGGGAGCAUCUGGCUGGGCAGUGGGCAGCGUCUGCAGUCGUGGCUGCUUGAAGGUGACGCCUUCUGGGCCCCAUCUGUCCUUCCUCACAGCACCCUCAGCGCCUUAAGCCACCACCCUCAGCCACAAUUUGGCAGAAGGAUGGAGUCCAAGGUCUCAGAAGGUGGCCUGAACGUGACCCUCACCAUCCGCCUGCUGAUGCAUGGAAAGGAAGUUGGAAGCAUCAUCGGGAAGAAAGGAGAAACUGUGAAGAAGAUGCGUGAGGAGAGUGGUGCAAGGAUCAACAUCUCAGAGGGAAACUGCCCAGAGAGGAUCGUGACCAUCACAGGCCCCACAGAUGCCAUCUUCAAGGCCUUUGCCAUGAUCGCAUACAAGUUUGAGGAGGUAACCUGCACCCCAGGCACCUCUGCCAGCCUGGCGGGGGCAGGCCUGGUCCCAGCUGGCUCCCUGGGUCCUCUCCCCUACAGCUGGACUAGGGGAUGCCCCAGCCCGCCCAGGCAGCCCCAUAACUACGCUCACCUCCUUUGCCUCCCAGGGCCUCUCCCCAUCUCUGGUUCACCUGGUCAGGGGCCAGUGUCUCUCCAUCCUUCUGAAGCCAGCUACUCCUGGCUGUGUGCCUUAGGUCCACCUCCCUCAGCUUCCCCAGACCCUGCUCUGGGGCACCGAGUAUGGCCUCAGAACACCCCACCCUUCCCCUGGGGCAUGCAGCCUGGCUGACCCUUGGGCCACACCAGCGCCUCCAGCCAGCUCUGUCACAUGGCUCUCGAUGAAGCCCUGGCUGGCACAGCCCUGGUCCUCAGCCACACAGCACCAUGCCUCUGGGCCCCCCGUGAGAGCUGAUGUAGCCUGGCUGA
rnacentral:sRNA from 1 species